rnacentral:rRNA from 1 species
AUGGCUCAGGACGAACGCUGGCGGCGUGCUUAACACAUGCAAGUCGAACGAUGAACCACUUCGGUGGGGAUUAGUGGCGAACGGGUGAGUAACACGUGGGCAAUCUGCCCUUCACUCUGGGACAAGCCCUGGAAACGGGGUCUAAUACCGGAUACCACUACCGCAGGCAUCUGUGGUGGUUGAAAGCUCCGGCGGUGAAGGAUGAGCCCGCGGCCUAUCAGCUUGUUGGUGAGGUAAUGGCUCACCAAGGCGACGACGGGUAGCCGGCCUGAGAGGGCGACCGGCCACACUGGGACUGAGACACGGCCCAGACUCCUACGGGAGGCAGCAGUGGGGAAUAUUGCACAAUGGGCGAAAGCCUGAUGCAGCGACGCCGCGUGAGGGAUGACGGCCUUCGGGUUGUAAACCUCU